rnacentral:rRNA from 1 species
AUACGGAGGAUCCGAGCGUUAUCCGGAUUUAUUGGGUUUAAAGGGUGCGCAGGCGGCCAUUUAAGUCAGCGGUUAAAUCGUGGGGCUCAACCCCAUUCUGCCGUUGAUACUGGGUGGCUUGAUUGCGGUCGAGGUUGGCGGAAUUCGUUGUGUAGCGGUGAAAUGCAUAGAUAUGACGAAGAACACCGAUUGCGUAGGCAGCUGACCAGACCGCAAAUGACGCUCAUGCACGAAAGUGCGGGGAUCGAACAGGAUUAGAUACCCUGGUAGUCCGCACAGUAAACGAUGAAGACUUGUUUUCGGCGAUAUAAUGUCGGAGGCAAAGCGAAAGCGAUAAGUAUUCCACCUGGGGAGUACGCCGGCAACGGUGAAACUCAAAGGAAUUGACGGGG